rnacentral:rRNA from 1 species
UACGUAGGGUGCAAGCGUUAAUCGGAAUUACUGGGCGUAAAGCGUGCGUAGGCGGUUGCGCAAGACAGGUGUGAAAUCCCCGGGCUUAACCUGGGAAUUGCACUUGUGACUGCAUCGCUGGAGUGCGGCAGAGGGGGAUGGAAUUCCGCGUGUAGCAGUGAAAUGCGUAGAUAUGCGGAGGAACACCGAUGGCGAAGGCAAUCCCCUGGGCCUGCACUGACGCUCAUGCACGAAAGCGUGGGGAGCAAACAGG